rnacentral:rRNA from 1 species
UACGGGGGGAGCAAGCGUUGUUCGGAUUUACUGGGCGUAAAGGGCGCGUAGGCGGCCACCGCAAGUCAAUUGUGAAAUCUCCGGGCUUAACUCGGAAAGGUCAACUGAUACUGCGGGGCUAGAGUGCGGAAGGGGCAACUGGAAUUCUCGGUGUAGCGGUGAAAUGCGUAGAUAUCUGGAGGAACACCGGUGGCGAAGGCGGCGUUCUGGACUGUCUCUGACACUGAAGAACGAAAGCCAGGGGAGCAAACGGG